CCUGGCUCAGAACGAACGCUGGCGGCGUGGAUAAGACAUGCAAGUCGAACGAGAGAAUUGCUAGCUUGCUAAUAAUUCUCUAGUGGCGCACGGGUGAGUAACACGUGAGUAACCUGCCCCCGAGAGCGGGAUAGCCCUGGGAAACUGGGAUUAAUACCGCAUAGUAUCGAAAGAUUAAAGCAGCAAUGCGCUUGGGGAUGGGCUCGCGGCCUAUUAGUUAGUUGGUGAGGUAACGGCUCACCAAGGCGAUGACGGGUAGCCGGUCUGAGAGGAUGUCCGGCCACACUGGAACUGAGACACGGUCCAGACACCUACGGGUGGCAGCAGUCGAGAAUCAUUCACAAUGGGGGAAACCCUGAUGGUGCGACGCCGCGUGGGGGAAGAAGGUCUUCGGAUUGUAAACCCCUGUCAUGUGGGACAUUAAAAAGAUAGUACCACAAGAGGAAGAGACGGCUAACUCUGUGCCAGCAGCCGCGGUAAUACAGAGGUCUCAAGCGUUGUUCGGAAUCACUGGGCGUAAAGCGUGCGUAGGCUGUUUCGUAAGUCGUGUGUGAAAGGCGCGGGCUCAACCCGCGGACGGCACAUGAUACUGCGAGACUAGAGUAAUGGAGGGGGAACCGGAAUUCUCGGUGUAGCAGUGAAAUGCGUAGAUAUCGAGAGGAACACUCGUGGCGAAGGCGGGUUCCUGGACAUUAACUGACGCUGAGGCACGAAGGCCAGGGGAGCGAAAGGGAUUAGAUACCCCUGUAGUCCUGGCAGUAAACGGUGCACGCUUGGUGUGCGGGGAAUCGACCCCCUGCGUGCCGGAGCUAACGCGUUAAGCGUGCCGCCUGGGGAGUACGGUCGCAAGAUUAAAACUCAAAGAAAUUGACGGGGACCCGCACAAGCGGUGGAGUAUGUGGCUUAAUUCGAUGCAACGCGAAGAACCUUACCUGGGCUUGACAUGUAAUGAACAACAUGUGAAAGCAUGCGACUCUUCGGAGGCGUUACACAGGUGCUGCAUGGCCGUCGUCAGCUCGUGUCGUGAGAUGUUUGGUUAAGUCCAGCAACGAGCGCAACCCCUGUUGCCAGUUACCAGCACGUGAAGGUGGGGACUCUGGCGAGACUGCCCAGAUCAACUGGGAGGAAGGUGGGGACGACGUCAGGUCAGUAUGGCCCUUAUGCCCAGGGCUGCACACGUACUACAAUGCCCAGUACAGAGGGGGCCGAAGCCGCGAGGCGGAGGAAAUCCUAAAAACUGGGCCCAGUUCGGACUGUAGGCUGCAACCCGCCUACACGAAGCCGGAAUCGCUAGUAAUGGCGCAUCAGCUACGGCGCCGUGAAUACGUUCCCGGGUCUUGUACACACCGCC
rnacentral:rRNA from 1 species